rnacentral:rRNA from 1 species
CAGUCGCCACGGGAAUACAGAGGGUGCGAGCGUUAAUCGGAUUUACUGGGCGUAAAGCGUGCGUUGGCGGCUUUUUAAGUCGGAUGUGAAAUCCCUGAGCUUAACUUAGGAAUUGCAUUCGAUACUGGGAAGCUAGAGUAUGGGAGAGGAUGGUAGAAUUCCAGGUGUAGCGGUGAAAUGCGUAGAGAUCUGGAGGAAUACCGAUGGCGAAGGCAGCCAUCUGGCCUAACACUGACGCUGAGGUACGAAAGCAUGGGGAGCAAACAGGAUUAGAUACCCGCGUAGUCCCUGUCUCUUAUAC